AAUAGAUACCCGGGUAGUCCACCCCGUAAACGUUGGGAACUAGUUGUGGGGUCCUUUCCACGGAUUCCGUGACGCAGCUAACGCAUUAAGUUCCCCGCCUGGGGAGUACGGCCGCAAGGCUAAAACUCAAAGGAAUUGACGGGGACCCGCACAAGCGGCGGAGCAUGCGGAUUAAUUCGAUGCAACGCGAAGAACCUUACCAAGGCUUGACAUACACGAGAACACCCUGGAAACAGGGGACUCUUUGGACACUCGUGAACAGGUGGUGCAUGGUUGUCGUCAGCUCGUGUCGUGAGAUGUUGGGUUAAGUCCCGCAACGAGCGCAACCCUCGUUCUAUGUUGCCAGCACGUAAUGGUGGGAACUCAUGGGAUACUGCCGGGGUCAACUCGGAGGAAGGUGGGGAUGACGUCAAAUCAUCAUGCCCCUUAUGUCUUGGGCUUCACGCAUGCUACAAUGGCCGGUACAAAGGGCUGCAAUACCGUGAGGUGGAGCGAAUCCCAAAAAGCCGGUCCCAGUUCGGAUUGAGGUCUGCAACUCGACCUCA
rnacentral:rRNA from 1 species